AUUGAACGCUGGCGGCAUGCUUUACACAUGCAAGUCGAACGGUAACAGGCCGCAAGGUGCUGACGAGUGGCGAACGGGUGAGUAAUGCAUCGGAACGUGCCCAGUCGUGGGGGAUAACUACUCGAAAGAGUAGCUAAUACCGCAUACGAUCUAUGGAUGAAAGCGGGGGACCGUAAGGCCUCGCGCGAUUGGAGCGGCCGAUGUCAGAUUAGGUAGUUGGUGGGGUAAAGGCUCACCAAGCCAACGAUCUGUAGCUGGUCUGAGAGGACAACCAGCCACACUGGGACUGAGACACGGCCCAGACUCCUACGGGAGGCAGCAGUGGGGAAUUUUGGACAAUGGGCGCAAGCCUGAUCCGGCAAUGCCGCGUGCAGGAAGAAGGCCUUCGGGUUGUAAACUGCUUUUGUACGGAACGAAACGGCUCUGGUUAAUACCCGGGGCUAAUGACGGUACCGUAAGAAUAAGCACCGGCUAACUACGUG
rnacentral:rRNA from 1 species